AAAUUAAAACACCUGUCCACUGAGUUAACAGUAAAACUAGCGUUAAGUCUCCGUCUAUUUUUUUUUCUUUCCCCUGUUACUGACUCUUGAACUCCGGCGGAAAACCUCAAACACAAACCCAGCUCCUAACGUUCUCUCUCUCCCUUUUUUUUCUUCUCUUUCUCUCUUUCUUUCCUUCUCUCUCGCUCAUAUUAGAUGAAAAAGACGAAUCCAGCUCUCUGAAUUCUCUAUCUCGCUCUGUUUUCGCAGAUUAAUUGGCUGGAACUAAAGUGAUUCGUUGGUUAUGGAGAAAGAUGGGAAGAGCAACCUUGAAGAAGUUGUGUUUAUUGACUCAGAGGAAGAUUUUUUUUUGAGAAAUAACUCAGAGGAAGAUACAAAUCCAAAAAUUUGAGAAAAUAUAGACCCUAAGAAGAUAUAACUCCAAAAAUUGGAAUGGAGUUUGAUUCAAAGGAUGAGGCAUAUCUAUUGAUAUGAUUAAUAAAUCAUGAGUUCUUUUUUUGGCAGACCACUGUGUUAGCAUGGACAAGGAGUUUAGCAUGCAAGAAGUUUAGCGCGGUUUUGGAUGAAGAUGAGAACAUCUCUUUAAUGAUUGCUACAAGUGACAUUAAUUUAUUUAUUGAUUGCUACAAGUGGCAUUACUUUGUUUUGUUGUCGCUUAUCAGUUUAUUUAUCGAUGCGUGUUUUGGGUACUUUUAUUGUUAUAACUUAUCAGCUGUAACUUCUUUAAUAUUGGGUACUUUUUUUGAUCCAAAUUCACUACUAACUUUUGAUAA